rnacentral:rRNA from 1 species
UACGGAAGGCAGCAGUGGGGAAUAUUGCACAAUGGGCGAAAGCCUGAUGCAGCUAUGCCGCGUGUAUGAAGAAGGCCUUAGGGCUGUAAAGUACUUUCAUCGGGGAGGAAAAACAAAACUAAUAAUUUUAUUUCUUGACGUUACCCGAAAAAGAAGCACCGGCUAACUCCGUGCCAGCAGCCGCGGUAAUACGGAGGGUGCUAGCGUUAAUCAGAAUUACUGGGCGUAAAGAGCACGUAGGUGGUUUUUUUAAGUCAGAUGUGAAAUCCCUGGGCUUAACCUAGGAACUGCAUUUUGAAACUGAAAUACUAGAGUAUCGUAGAGGGAGGUAGAAUUCUAGGUGUAGCGGUGAAAUGCGUAGAUAUCUGGAGGAAUACCUGUGGCGAAAGCGGCCUCCUAAACGAAUACUGACACUGAGGUGCGAAAGCGUGGGGAGCAAACAGGAUUAGAUACC